UACGUAGGGGGCAAGCGUUGUCCGGAUUUAUUGGGCGUAAAGAGCGUGUAGGCGGCUUGGUAGGUCCGCUGUGAAAACUCGAGGCUCAACCUCGAGAUGUCGGCGGAAACCACUUGGCUAGAGUCCGGAAGAGGAGAGUGGAAUUCCCGGUGUAGCGGUGAAAUGCGCAGAUAUCGGGAAGAACACCCGUGGCGAAGGCGGUUCCCUGGGACGGUACUGACGCUGAGACGCGAAAGCGUGGGGAGCGAACAGG
rnacentral:rRNA from 1 species